UACGAAGGGGGGCUAGCGUUGCUCGGAAUCACUGGGCGUAAAGGGCGCGUAGGCGGCCAUUCAAGUCGGGGGUGAAAGCCCAGGGCUCAACCCUGGAAUUGCCUUCGAUACUGUUUGGCUAGAGACCGGAAGAGGUAAGUGGAACUGCGAGUGUAGAGGUGAAAUUCGUAGAUAUUCGCAAGAACACCAGUGGCGAAGGCGGCUUACUGGUCCGGUUCUGACGCUGAGGCGCGAAAGCGUGGGGAGCAACAGG
rnacentral:rRNA from 1 species